CCCUUCGUCUUGUCCGAUUCGCUUAAUUAUUUGGAGACAGAAUGACGCGAACUAAGUUUCUAUGUAUAUUCAGUGGCGUAAUAAGUGAGUAUGUGUUGCUUGGUAAAUAUGACGGGCACUGCUGCUACCACCACCAUCAUGAUAUUAGGGAGUUGGACCUGAUGAACGACUGCUGAUAAAGGCCCCCCACAAAAGCUCAUAGGCCUAGGACUCGGCGUCGUGGUAUCAACUAAUAGAUACGCAAGAGUCGACGAAUGAUCAGCAAAUGUAGAGAGAAAUGACUGAAGAUUUUCAACCAGAUCAAUUCGUCACUUGGUGUUACGUUUACAGUGGCGCCACCUGUGACAUGUCUUCCAAGGACACAGGAACAGCAAAAUCGUGCGUGAGCAGCGUGACCCUUGCAUUCCAUUACCCUCUGAACAACAUGAAGACUUCGAAGGAAACUGGAAAGUUACAGUAAAACCAAUGAAUUUUGUUGUGAUUUGUUUUCUAAGCACCUUGAUGGCAGCCUACCAGUCUUCAGCCCAGCUUGCCAUUAAAAUAUUGUUACAUGCAGCUUCUUGCCUUUGCUGGUGCUAGGCAGUGAAUGAUGUAGUUUUAAGUACUUAGCAGAGCUAUACUACCUUGAACAAAUUUUUCUGGUAAGCAAAAGUACUAAGGUAUCAAUAGGUAUACUAUACCGUCUGACCUCAGGCUUCAUAUGCCCCAGUUUUUGUAUGAUACUGUUUUCUUUUACUUUUUUUCCGAUUAAAUUUUGACUGAUUUCAUACAUUUCCUUGAAAACCGUACACCCGGAAAUGCUCCUUCCAGGGCUCGCCUUUUGACUAGGUCCAUACCAAGCCCCCAAACAAAGCAUCCCAUGUCCUGCUCUAGUAACCCAUUUUAUCUUUGAGUUCAUUGUUUUCUGUGCUUUUUUUUUUAUUAGAGUGCAACUGCUAAAUAAGCCAUCAUGGGGCCAAAGAAUUCCAAGUGCCAGCCUUCUGUUAGAAAAAAAAAAAAGCCUGAAACACUAUAGAAUUUAAGAAAGAACAUAGCAAAGUACUUGGGUUGUCCGUAUUAUAAGGUUCUCAAGGAGCUGCAGUUGCAAGGAACGCUAUUACGCGGGAUCCGGCGACACUGGCGUGUAGCUUGGUCCCCCCUCUCCCAGUCCCCACCCCGGCGAGCUGUCUUGGACGCUCAGCCUUGGCUUGGCAGCCGAUAGAGGUGGAGCCCCUACUCGCUUCUCCUGCCAGGUGCGAAUUACGCUCUGUGAUUCGUUUUUUGUGUGCAAAAAACACUGCACUGGUGGACAUUCAUUCCCAAUUGUGUGAAGUCUACGGAGAAAAGUGUAUGAGUGUACAACACGUGAGCAAAUGGUGCAGAGAUUUCAUAGACGGACGUACAGACGUCCAUAACGCAUUUCAGAACCGGAGAGGAGCUGAAAGAAGAGGUUUUAAGCUACCUUCACGGAGCGGCAGGAGUUCUAUGAUUCAGGCAUAAAGAUUGUACACCGCAUGCAAAAAUGCAUUGAUCUCAACGGCGAUUAUGCCGAAAAAUAGGAAAAAGUCCAAGCUUUCCAAAAAUGUAUUCAAUGCCAAUAAUCAUGUUUUUCAUUGUGAAAAAUCUUUGGGAACCUUCUUUUACGGACAACCCUCGUAUGAAAGUGGCAUAUGUAUGACUGAUCUCACUAGGAAGUACGUAUGAAAGUCUGUAUGAACAAUCAGCUCCAUCCUAGUGAAGAAAAGAGAAAUCAUUGCAGCUCUUGUUGCAAAAUGCACAUAACCAUUCUAAUGGCAUAAUUUGAUUUCAACUGGUGAGGAUGUUAACCAUAUCUCUUCUUCCAGGGACAAACCUGGGUAUCAGGUUGAUGUCCAGGUCCUAAACCAGAAUAUACUGAAGGCAAUAUAUUGCUGCAGAAGAAUUAUCCACACCAGUGCUAAUAUCAUGCCCUGUAUAUUUACUAGCUGGUUUAGAAUUUUGUAGACUAACUAGGAACUAAACGCUGUUGAUGUAUGACCUGUCAUGAUACUCUGAUGACGUGUAGUGUGUGAAUUAUCCACACCAGUGCUAUCAUGCCCUGUAUAUUUACUAGCUGGUAUAGAUUUUUGUAGACUAACUAGGAACUAAACGCUGUUGAUGUAUGACCUGUCAUGAUACUCUGAUGACGUGUAGUGUGUGACUCCUUUCAGGAGUUGAUUUUGCUGAUCGAUGAUUACACAGACCACCUGCUUGCACAGCAAGGUAGUAGUUUGUCACAAUCCUUAGUUGCAUCAGGUUUCAAAACAUAAGUUCCUAAUGGCCAAAUCCUUCAACUCUGUGCAUAAGUACAUGACUGGUUGCAGGUCCAGUUGUUUAUAUGACAAUAUCACCUUCAGCCUCUGCUGGAUAAAAAGUUUUAUGGCAUCCCUAAUUCCUGCAGAAACAAGGUCAGAAUUGCCUUGUCUGGUCAUGGAGAUAAAUAUUUAUUCGGACAGAGAGGCACAAUGUCACCAUCAUUCUUUAGUCAUCUCUUAGCAGGGUUCACCAAAAGUUCUCGCAGCAGAAUGGUCCCUUUACCUGGGUGUUUGCAAGGCUGUGUGGUAGGAGGGCAUUGUUUACCUUGUUAAAUGCUUCUACAGCUUUGAGAGUGGAAGCCAUGCUUUGGAUAUAGGAAAGCUCGGAACUUCUAAAUUUGGUGAAACUUCUCAUAUUGUUCAUUGCUUCUAUUGUUGAUCUGCAGAUCCUCCUUCACCAAACCACUAUCAGGCAAAAUGGGUUAAUCUGUGGUUAGGUAUGACCAGCAAGGUUUGUCCCUUGAAGUCGGUCUUCUGGUUAGACUUUGAUUUAAUAUGACCCAAAGCUUUCACUCACCUCUUUGAUUAGAACAUAGAAUUUAGGCCAAAUGCCAAGUGCUGGGACCUAUGAAGCCAUUCAGCACUGAAAGGAAAAUUAAUGGUAGGAAGGCUUAAAAGUUAGGAGAGGAAAACCUCAGAGUUGCACCCAGAAACAAUUUUUAGAGGGUGGCAAAUCAGAUGGAAUAUGAAUGGAGGUACAAUAAAAAAAAUGAGACAUUGCAGCUAGGGGUUAAAGGGAACUGCUCAGCUGUUAAGAAUUACUGCUUUUCCCCCCCAUCAGGUUUAAUUUAAAAAGGGGUAGACAUUGGAAUUUUAGUAUUUCCAACAUUUUCAGCCACUUUGAGUAAAUAUCCCCCUAGUUUCAGCUUGGUCAUUAGUUUUGAGCAGCAUUACUAGUAUAUCACCACCUUUGCUAUUCUAGACUAGUCUUGUGUUUCCUGUAAGAACUUAGCUCAUAUCUCUCAUCAGUCUGGGCAUUUGCAAUGUUAGGAUCAAUAUAUAUCCAACACUUCUCUUAUUGGUUAUCACAAGUUACUACAUUGGCUUACAUCAGGAGCCCAUAAAGUCUGUGCCCUUUCUUACGCCAUGAGUUUAAGCAUAACUAGCAGCUGUCAUCCUUAGGGCAAACUCCUGUUAUUUUCAAAGCUUUAGAAAGUUGUCUUCAUCUCACAAAACCCUGGAUUUGAAUGUGGUG